UGGAAUGGUCUUUCUGGAAUGAUGG
rnacentral:piRNA from 1 species